rnacentral:misc_RNA from 1 species
GAUGAAGAACGCAGCGAAAUGCGAUACUUGGUGUGAAUUGCAGAAUCCCGUGAACCAUCGAGUCUUUGAACGCAAGUUGCGCCCGAAGCCAUUUGGUUGAGGGCACGUCUGCCUGGGCGUCACAUAUCGUUGCCCGAUGCCUAUUGCAAUGUGAUAGGAAAUUCUAGGGCGAAAGAUGGCUUCCCGUGAGCGUUGUUGCCUCGCGGUUGGUUGAAAAUUGAGUCCUUGGUAGGGUGUGCCAUGAUAGAUGGUGGUCGAGUUUGCACGAGACCGAUCAUGUGUGCGCUCCCCAAAAUAUGGACUCUUUGACCCCACACGCGUCUUUUGACGCUCAUGACGAGACCUCAGGUCAGGCGGGGCUACCCGCUGAGUUUAAGCAUAUCAAUAAGCGGAGGA